rnacentral:tRNA from 1 species
GGUGGGGUACCCAAGAGGCCAAAGGGGGCGGGCUGUAAACCCGCUGGCUUUAUGCCUUCGGGGGUUCGAAUCCCUCCCCCACCA